AGUGUAAAUUCUCCUGGAGCCUGUCAAGCUAUGUUUGAACUCGUUCCAGGAUAGUGGAUUUACUUUUUUUUCCCCACCAGGAAGAAUACUCGAUUAGACUGCAUUUUGCCUUGCUUUUCCUUCUCCCUUUCUCUCUCUUUCUUUCUUUCUUUCUUUCUUUCUUUCUUUCUUUCUUUCUUUCUUUCUUUCUUUCUUUCUUUCUUUCUUUUUCUUUCUCUCUCUCUCUCUCUUUCUUUCUUUCCUUUCUUUUCUUUCUUUCCUCUUUCUCUUUCCUUCUUUCUUUUUUUCUUCUUUCUUUCCUUCCUUCCUUCCAUCUUUCUUUUCUUUCUUUCCAUUUUUUUUUUCCUCCAGAAGAAUGGAAACAGUAUUCUUUUCCGAUCAGUUCAGUAAUACAAUGUCCUUCAGUGUCCAUAUGAGCAUUUCAGUGGAGAAGAAAAGAAACUUUGCUACCUGGGAACUGAAGACUACUUAGUGAAGAUCCCGGUGUUACACAUCCAAUCGUUCACCUCCUUCCAAGACUAUGACAUUCCAGGAAACCUUCACUGCUAAGAGGAACUAAGAUCUAGAGUAUCUCCUCGAGGAAGUACAACUGGGUUGCUAUGAAGAUCAAUGGGUUGAACACAUGU
rnacentral:lncRNA from 1 species